rnacentral:rRNA from 1 species
ACUAGUGAUUACUCCUACGGAGGCAGCAGUGGGGAAUAUUGGACAAUGGGGGGAACCCUGAUCCAGCCAAGCCGCGUGUGUGAAGAAGGCCUUAUGGUUGUAAAGCACUUUAAGCGAGGAGGAGGCUACUCUAGUUAAUACCUAGGGAUAGUGGACGUUACUCGCAGAAUAAGCACCGGCUAACUCUGUGCCAGCAGCCGCGGUAAUAUCCCGCG